GGUCAUUCCAACUACAGUCAGCUGAAGGUGGGUAGCACCUUCUAAACACCACAGAAAAGUGCUUCUGCAACGUCCGAUCCGUCCCACCGCUGACCACAGGGCCCGAAGGCGCCAAAGCCCUAUGCUUUACCUCGGCACGGUGAGCAUUCAUAAUCCAAACAUUCCUCCACAGGUUUCCGAGGGCACCUCGCUAAGAAAGGCAGUCAACUGGUUUCCAAGCCCAGAGUCUGAAAUCUCAAGAAACGGACGGCGACAGGGACCACGAAAGAAGCUCGGCACCGCGGCACUGUGACCCUGCAGUAGCGCACACAGCUGGGGCUUCCCUAGGCGAGGAGAGAUGGUAAGGCGGCAACUCUUUCCAAGGCUAGACCUCGGGUUCCAAGGUUUGGAGAAGCGAGUACCCUUUGAUGGUGGCCCUCAAAAACACCGUAUGUUCUCAGCCUCGACAAGCAAGGAAGCAAAGUGGAAAAACAAACAAACAAAAAAACCCUCCUUUUUCAGCAUCGGAGCUGGAAGUCCGAAGUCCAAAGUCCAGUCUGCCAGGCACUGAGGCUUGAAGGAUAUUUAAAAUCCUGCAAAGUGGAUCCAGGUCUUCUAACCUCGGCAUAGGUUUCCAUCUCCAUGGAUUUUCAAAUCCCUAGUGCCAGGCUGCAGCAGGUGCACUCGGUUCGGGUCCCUAGGCGCUCCCAUCUCCGACACCGCCCCCACCCCAGCCCCGCUCCGUCCACUCUACCCCGCCCC
rnacentral:lncRNA from 1 species